GACGAACGCUGGCGGCGUGCUUAACACAUGCCAGUCGAACGGAAAGGCCCUGCUUUUGUGGGGUGCUCGAGUGGCGAACGGGUGAGUAACACGUGAGUAACCUGCCCUUGACUUUGGGAUAACUUCAGGAAACUGGGGCUAAUACCGGAUAGGAGCUCCUGCUGCAUGGUGGGGGUUGGAAAGUUUCGGCGGUUGGGGAUGGACUCGCGGCUUAUCAGCUUGUUGGUGGGGUAGUGGCUUACCAAGGCUUUGACGGGUAGCCGGCCUGGGAGGGUGACCGGCCACAUUGGGACUGAGAUACGGCACAGACUCCUACGGGAGGCAGCAGUGGGGAAUAUUGCACAAUGGGCGGAAGCCUGAUGCAGCAACGCCGCGUGCGGGAUGACGGCCUUCGGGUUGUAAACCGCUUUCGCCUGUGACGAAGCGUGAGUGACGGUAAUGGGUAAAGAAGCACCGGCUAACUACGUG
rnacentral:rRNA from 1 species